rnacentral:rRNA from 1 species
CUGCAUGAAGUCGGAAUUGCUAGUAAUCGCGGAUCAGCAUGCCGCGGUGAAUACGUUCCCGGGCCUUGUACACACCGCCCGUCAAGCCAUGGGAGCCGGGAGCGCUUGAAGUGCGUCGCCGCGAGGCGCGCCCUAGAGCGAGACCGGUGACUGGGGCUAAGUCGUAACAAGGUACC